GAUAAAAUAGAAAGGCAUAAAUCAGUACAAAGUGAUAUUGAGCAUGUGAAAACUGGAAGAGAGUGAGGAAUAUGAAGAGAAAUAAAACAGAGUGUCAAAAUGGAGAGAAUAGCGGAGGAACGUUACAUAAAAGCUAGAAGCCAAAUAGGAAAGCUAAACCUGUCAUUUCCUCGUGAGUUUGAAACGCUGUAACACGCUCGUCCAUGAAGAUAAAUGUUUAUAAAUACAUUCGGUGGGACGGAUUUAGGAUGUUGUGAAGUGGUUGCAAUGAUGGUUACAUUUUCAUACAGACUUUAUAGAACCUCAGUAAUACGCCAACAAUAAUCCUUUCAUCAAAAUAUGGAAUUUACUAUAUGUGAGCUGUCGA